rnacentral:lncRNA from 1 species
AUACUUAUACCUGCUCCUUAUUAUUCGCUGAGUUGUGACAAUGUGUUCCUUGAAUCUCACAUUUUAUUGGCUAAGGGUCCUGUCAUUCUGAGUGCUUCUGGAGAGUUUCAGACACUGCAGUUUCUUUCCAAGCCCAGAUUGUUUUUCAGCUUCUGCACUUCAACAAACUGGGGGAUAAUAUAGAGUAUUUAACACUGUCCUCCUGAAAACAAAUAAAACCCUUUUAUAAUUUAUACCUGAUUUUACCCUGCCAGUGGACUUCUGAUAUCAGGGCCAUUUGCAGGGUAAAAGCAGCUUAAGAAAAGUCUACUUUUUGCUUUAAAAAAAAAAAAAAAAAAAAAAAAAAAAAGCAAAAACUACAUGAGCAGAACUUUAAUUGAAGUGCUCGUAGAAAGGUCCUGCGAGGAGUUCCCUGGUAGUCUAGAGGCUGAGGAUCAGUGUUGUCAUUGCUGUGAAUCAGGUCACUGCUGUGGCCCAGGUUCAAUCCCUGGCAGGGGAACUUCUGCAUGCUACAAGCUUGGCCAAAAAAUGGUCUUGCUAAGCUUAAUGUUGUCACCACUGACCUAAUGGAAAACAAAAUUAUUCUGUUUGUCUUACAACAACUUAUUGCUCCACAGAACAGAGCUUCCUAAAACAAACUAGCUCUGAAACGUAACAGUUUCAAGGAGAGAAGAUAUUGCAGGAAGGGAAACCUGCCUGGUUUAUUUUUGUCCUAAGUGGAUUUUAUUUUUUAAAAUCAAGUAGGUUUCUGUGUCAUUAAAAAUGUGUCUCAGGGCCCUCAGAUUUCUAGGGCUUUUCUGAGGAAACUCCUGCAAACAGGUUUGAAAAGUACACUACUUGGUAGUGAAGGUGAUGGUUUGAUAAAUCAGCUUUGUAGGAAUUAGGAAUUAUUCAACUAACUGAAAGACUGAAAGAAAUAUUCCGGUCAACAGGAGGUACAAGGGUGGUUGGGAGACCAGAAAUUAAAGCUGUUGCCCAAAAACUCUCAGAAAUCUAUGAGUGGGCAAAUUCAGAUCCUCAGAGACAUAGAAGACAAAGUCAAGCCUCCAUGGCCAGUGGUUGAAGCAGAAUGUAUGUAAGGAAGGUUAAUUCAUCACACAGGCAGGGUGGCGCAUUAAGCACACCAGUGAGACGGGCAGGGCAUAAAAGAAACAGUCAGAUUUUAGUGGGAAGAGAGGGACUGUGUCCCGAGAACAAGAGGAACAGGAGUUCUUGUUGGGGGAAUGAGAUGGAGAAGGAUGGGGACACACAGAAGAGACCUCCUUGAGUGGCUAUACAUAUUGUGAGAUAAAUUUAGCAAAGCAGGUGCACAAAUGAGCAAUAGGAAGAAGUAGAGACUACCAAAUAUUUUGAACAUCCAUCUCUCAAAUUCAGUCCUUAAUAUCAAAUAUUUUUGAAAUGGAAAUGUCUUCACAGCUGUGUAUCAUGGCUUAUUGUCUACUGAAUCUGAUGAGAGGUUAACUAGGUGACAUAAAACUUUGAUUAUGUUAUACCUUCAGUAAAUGCUUGUACAAAAUUAUUGUGGACUUUGAUCAUUCCAUGAGACUCUUAUUAUGUUAGGAGCAUGAAAAAUGUGACCCCAAAUCAAAUUUAAUUGUAAUAAAGAUGAGGGAACAUAAUUCUACCCUUUCAUUAAAAGGUAGAAUUUUAUUCCCUCCUUAGAAGGAUCUACAAACAUGUCUAUUUUACUUGAAUUUCACAGUAUUUCUACCAGUGCACUAUGUAAAAUUGGAAUCCAGAGAUCUGUCUGUCAUAACAGGAUUUUGGAAUAUGAAAUGGCCUCUGGUGUCAGAAGAUGUAGGUUCAAAUCCAAGUUCCAACACUUUGUAGCUCUCUGAGCUUGGUCAUGUUGAUUUUGUGAAGGCUCAUUUUUCUUGAGGUAUAAUGAUGAUACUCGUGUAUAGGAUUUUUGUGAGGAUUAGACUAAGUAAUGUACAUACAUUUUAUUAAUGUAGCACCUAUCUCAGUAAAUGAAAGGUUUUUUUGUUUUGUUUUUGUUUGUUUUAACGCUGUUGUGACCUUAAGGUCCUUCGAGGACCUAUAUAAUCUGGCACCCGGCUCUCUAUUUCUUCUCACUCUUCUUCCCUCUCCCUCUGCUCCAGCCAUGUUGACCCUCUAGCCAUUUCCCAAACAUGCCUCACGCACUUCCACCCAGAGGACUCUGCCUUUGCAACUCCUUUUGCCUGGAACUCUUCUACUCGCAAGUCUGACCUCUUUAUUCAGGCCUCAGCUCAAGUGUCAACUCCCCUGAGAAAUGCGACUUAAUGCUCUGUCUAAAACAGCGCCCCCUAUUGCUCUCUUUCCCAUUACACUAGGUUCUGCUUUUUCAUGGUCACUUAUCACCACUAGACAUUAGGUUAUGGUUGUAUUUUCCCUUUGUUCAUUCUCACCUGGACAUCAGGUCCAUGUGAGCAGCGUCUUUGAUCACCUCUGUGCCCCAGAGCCUAGAGCCUAGCGAGUUCAUAAAAAACUUAGCCAAUAAUGCUGAUGAUGGAAACAGCCGUGGAACCCUAUGCUCUUCAGGAUUACAGGGAUAUAGAUGCACUGACCAGAGAGCAAAUAUCACAUUGGCUUGAUAUUUAAAAUGUUUAAAAUGUAUACAAAAUUUUCUUAUUGAGCGGAAAGGAGAGACUUAAAUUUGCCCAUCACAUCCCAAGGACCAAACGAUAAGGAGAAUACAGAAUCCCAAUAUUCUUUACACAGUGGAUGCAAAUAAAUGCUCAUCAAAGUAGAUGGAAUGGGAGAAAGCUGAUACAAAGCACGGGGCCAGUGGUCUAGCGGAGAUCCAGGGCAAAUCCUGGGUGAAGAAUUUUAGCUGGUCAUCUUUCUGAGUUUUCUGUUUGUUUGUUUUCUGCCUUCCAGGCUCUGUUGAAAUCUAAUUGUCCUGGUUCUGACUCUCCUUAAUUGUUGCAUAGCAUCUAGAGACAUUGAAUCCAUAACAAUUGGAGAGAAAUAUACAUUCAGGAUGGCGUUCAAGGCCUUCUCAUCACAUCCACGCAUGCCUGUGCACCCACAUACACACAUACACGUAUGGAUCCAAUGAAAGGAUUGGCAGUUCAGAGAAGACUUUAAGAUCUUUCCAUUUUGGCCAACUUUCAGUUAGUCAUGACGAUAAAAUAGACUGUUUUUAGAUUUCUCUUUUCCCUGUAACUGAAGGACAAUAUACGACGCAUAGAGCUUAUGUAAGCGUUAUCCCUGCUGACAUUCCAAAUGAGCAGAUCAGCUGCCACCUAAUCAUUCCAUUGCAGCUUGGAUUUGGCAAUCUUUUAGAGAAUACUGAAUUUGAAGGAACAUCUGCCUUUUACUUCUCAUUUAUGCCGGCACCUCUGGCUGCUUCCAGAAACUUCCUAACACAAUAAACGUACUAGGAAGAGUUCCACUGUGGCUCAGUGGUAAUGAACCCGACUGGCAUCCAUGAGGAUGCAGGUUCGAUCCCUGGCCUCGCUCAGUGGUUUAAGGGUCCGGCAUUGCUGCAAGCUGUGGUCACAGACUCAGCUCAGAUCUGGCAUUGCUGUGGCUGUGGUGUAGGCUCACAGCUCUAAUCUGACCCUUAGCCUGGGAACUUCCAUAUGCCACAGGUG